GGGGCGGGGCCUCGGAGGGGCAGGAGGCGGAGCCAGGGGCUGGGCCAGGACAGCAAGAUGGGCGGGGCCUGGGCGGAGUCAGGGGCGAGGCCUUGGAGAAACGGGGUGGGGCGGGGCCGUCGCCGCCGGGGCUCCAGGCUGGGGCUGCUGCGGUCACUUCCUGACCCGCGAGGCGCUGGGGUGGCGGGGCGGUGGUGCUGAGGCCACAUGGACUGGAUGAUUCGUCUGCGACCGUGUCGCCGCCCGCAGAUCUCCACUCUGCCUUCCGUGAUGGCCCAAUUCUGGUUGCACUGAUAAUGGACUCACUAUGUAGCUCUGCCCUGGUCCCAGUCUCUGGAAGGCGACCUUGCCCCGUGUCAAAGACUUCCGCACUGUGUCCUGGAUCUCAGGUGCGUGUCCUGAGACGCAGCCUGGACUCAUCCAAACCUGCCUUUUAAAGAGUUGUUGGGCCGAGGUCCCACAAGGUCAAAAGUCGUCUGCAGUACCCUACCCCUGAAGACUCCAGUACGCAUAAAUUUCUCCUACCGUUCACUUCCUCUGGAAACCUGGAUUCCCAGCUGCAGAGAGAUCCUUGGAACUGACUGUUAGGCCGCUGCCCACACUAACAGCACGCGUGGUACCUGCGCAGCUCACCUGCUCAACUGCACUUGUUCCAAGCUUUGUAGCUCCACCGAUAGCCCACAAACAGUAGCCGCCCCAGCAGGCGCCAUUUCUGUAUGCACUGAGUCCGAUCUGGCUCCUACCUUCCUGAGAAGCACUGGGCCACAGGAAUCUCCAAACUGCCCCUGGUGACCGCUGAGGGGGAGGUAAAGUGGGGGGAGUAGCUGGCAUUUGUGGAAAAAGGUGGGGAACGUUUUUUUAAGUAGUGGGCUGGAGGAGUCAGAUGUUCCAUGAAAGAUGACACCCAAGCUAGUUCCCGGCAGAUAAUAGAAACCAUUCAUGGAAGGCUUGCUGUGUAUUUUAUCUCGUACGAUUUUCUCAACUACCUUGAAAGGUUAUAUGUGUGUGUUCCCUCACCUAAUAAAAGCCUUUCUUCAAUUGAUGGAAAAAAGAAAAAGAAAUUGGAUCAUACAGCACUGAAAAUGGACUGCAAAUUUGAGACAUUUUGUACAGACUUAUUUCAGGAGUAACAAUGCUGUGCUGACACCAUUACGGACGCCUACUUUCAGAAAUCAAUGCAUGAGUGGUCGGCUGCCCCUGCUGCCAUGCCUUUGCUCCACCAGCAUGGGCUCUAGCCCUCUGAAACCGGAAGCGCAGCUAAAGGCUUGCCUUAUACAUUGACUUGGUCAUGGCGUUUUGUCACAGCAAUAAAAAGACAGCCUCACCCUCUUGAGGGCUCAUCCUCAACCCCUUGAACAUGAGCUGUACCCCUGGACCAGAGCUCUGGACUGCAAUUUUGGAAACUCUUCAAGGUGAUGCCUAGGUUCCAUGUCCUGAGGAGCAGAAUGACGCAGGGAAACAAAAUGAGGAUAGCAUGUUUCCAAACAAACUUCAGAGGAUACAGUCCAGUGACUUGAGAGAAUAAAAACUUUCCAGAGCCUGGUUCCUAAAUAUCAUAAACAAAUUCCAGAAUACAUUGUCGACUUCCAACAGUAGACUCACGAGAUGAGAUAACGACAUUGCUUGUCUUCUCCCCAUGAGGGAGGAAAAGAGUUCCUACAGAACGAGAAAGGUCUAGGAGAGAGCUGAAAAGGACAUCAGGACUCAAGAUGCCAGCGGAGCCAGGUGUGGUAGUCCCAGCACUUGGGAGGCAAAAGCAGGUGGAGCUCUGUGAGUUCAAGUCCAGCCUGGUCUACAUAGCAAAUGCUAGACUAGCCAGAACUACAUAGAGAGAUCCUGUCUCAAAAUCAAAACACCAGCACUAGGAGGCAAAGGUAAGUUUGAGACCAGCCUGGUUUAGAGAGCAAGUUCCAACACAACCAAGGCUACACAGAGAAACCCUGUCUCGAAAAACCAAAAAGAAAAGAGAGAGAGAGAAGAAAGAAAGAAAGAAAGAAAGAAAGAAAGAA